GACGAAGGAUGCAAGCGUUAUCCGGAUUCAUUGGGUUUAAAGGGAGCGUAGGUGGCCUUAUAAGUCAGUGGUGAAAUCUCGAGGCUUAACCUCGAAAUUGCCAUUGAUACUGUAGGGCUUGAGUAUAGUUGCCGUUGGCGGAAUAUGACAUGUAGUGGUGAAAUACAUAGAGAUGUCAUAGAACACCGAUUGCGAAGGCAGCUAACGAAACUAUAACUGACACUGAGGCUCGAAAGUGUGGGGAUCAAACAGG
rnacentral:rRNA from 1 species